rnacentral:rRNA from 1 species
UUAAAACAAGCUUUUAAGAGCAGAUGGCGGAUGCCUUGCCAAAGAGAGGCGAUGAAGGACGUACUAGACUGCGAUAAGC